rnacentral:lncRNA from 1 species
AUGAUUUUAAAUAUCGAUCCCUACACAUGUCGAAAAUAUGAUUUCGUUUAAAAUCUUAGAAAGUGUUUCGUUUUACUCUUUUUUCUCUCAACAGAGAAAAAAAAAAAAACUUUUUUAGGGGCACUUUUUAGUAUUACAUAAAUAUAAAAAGUUACUUUAUACUGGAAAAGCAUCGCAGAUCCGAGACGUCGCACUGUCGCAGCAAAUCAGCAAAUCAGCAAAUCAGCAAAUCAGCAAUACAGCGUAGACUCUCGUCUGGGGAUCCGAAUCAGGGCUUUUUGGCGACUCGAAAGGCCACUAAAACGAUGUCAAAUUUUAGCCAAAGUAUCAAUCAUUAUUAUCGCGGAUGACAUGUCGUCACCACAAUUUAUCAUUUCCUUUACCAACGAUUCCCCAUCCACCAAUCCCCACUCGCCUCCUCCACACGCGGCCCCACUUAACCCCACCGCAUCCAACGCGUGUCCCCAUCCGCGCGUGGCCCCCCCUUUCUCCAUGUCGCCACCUUGUACUCGCCUCAGUUUUCUAACACGCCAUUUU